GUACUUGCUUCGGCAGUACAUAUACUAAAAUUGGAACUAUACAGAGAAGAUUAGCAUGGGUCCUGUGCAUGGUAGUCUACCUACUGCCCAUCUUAUAUAAGUUUAU